rnacentral:rRNA from 2 species
AGCAAAUCCGACUUAGCAAGGAGUGUAUUUAUUAGAUAUUUAAACAAGUUUAGGGUAGUGUCCUCACAGACGGGUAACGGGGAAUUAGGGUUCGACUCCGGAGAGGGGGCUACCACAUCCAAGGAAGGCAGCAGGCGCGCAAAUUACCCAAUCCCGACACGGGGAAGUAGUGACAAGAAAUACUGAUACAGGGUCCUAUCGGAUCUUGUGAUUGGAAUGAGUACAAUUUAAACCCAUUAAAGCAUACAUUAAAAUUGUUGCAGUUAAAACGCCCGUAGUUGAAGUUUGGAUUUAAUCGCCCGGUCCGCCUCACUGCGAGAACUGGUUGCGAUCGAGUCUUUCUUCUUGGUAAACUGCAUGCCCUUUAUUGGGUGUGUUGGUGCACCAGGACUUUUACUUUGAAAAAAUUAGAGUGUUCAAAGCAGGCUUUUGCUCGCCUUAGCAUGGAAUAAUUGGUUUUCACGACUACCGUAAUGAUUGAUGAAAGCAUUUGCCAUGGAUGUUUUCAGAAAGGGGAU